ensembl:lncRNA
CAGCUCCGUGGCUGUCUGAACCAGUGCGUGCCAUGAGAGCCACCAUGCGAGCAUCGGAAAGGAGAUGGCGUAAAAUAUAAACCUGAUGACCUGCUUGCGUUUCAAUCUCUCAACUUUUUCUGCUUCUAUCUCCGCUGCCAGUUCUUUCUACCAAUCCAGAGUUGAAUUUCUAACCCUUCCAACCUCCUCGAACCCCCUAGUCCUCCUCCACCCUUCUUCCGGGAGACUGUCAACUAUUUUACCAAAUAAAUAGCUGACAUACGCUCGUCUUUCUCAAACCCACCUCCUAUUACUAGUGUCCCACUGGCUUAACCUCUAUCGCCCUCACUUUCCUCCUUCACCCUCCUGUCUCCUAACCAAAUUGUUACCUUAGUAACCUCUGCCUGUCCAACCACCUGCCCUCUCGACCCCAUUCCAUCACAUGUUCUACAAUCUAUCGCUCCUGACGUUCUUCCUUUCCUUACCUUUCUCAUCAACAAUAAUCUGUUAUCUGUCUGUUUUCCCAAUUCUCUGAAGGAGGCAAGAGUUAACCCUCUCCUGAAGAAACCAACCCUCAACCCUUCUCUAGGAACCUCGGCGUGAGCCAACUAUCCCUGACUCCCAACAUCACGAUCCUGUAGAUACACGCUCUACAACAUCAGGAGAAUACGUUCUCUUCUCACUCAGAAGGCAGGUACUAAUUCAUGCUCUUGUCAUCUCCCGCCUGGAUUACUGCAACUUUCUCCUGACACGUCUCCCCGCUAACGCCAUUGGGCCUCUGCAGCUCAUCCAGAAUGCAUGGUCUUUAAGCUUCCGAAAUUCUCCCACACUACUCCACUCCUCCGCUCUCUUCACUGGCUACCGGUGCCUGCCCGCAUCCAGUUCAAAACAUUGGUGCAGUCUACAUCCAGGACAUGGUCAAACCCUACAUCCCGACCCGCACUCCCUGCUUUGCAUCUGCAAAACUGCUUGUCCCUCCCUCACUGAGAGCAAAACACUCAACAAUAUCACGACUCUUUGCUGUCCUGGCUCGAAAAUGGUGGAAUGAGCUCUCUGAUGACAUCAGGCCCGCAGAGAGCCUUCACGUCUUUCGCCGCAAACUAAAGACACACCUCUUCAGACUCUACCUUGACUAAAGACUAACAAAUUGUAGCACUUAAAUUGUACUUAUAAUGCCACUUAUCUAUAGCAAAUUGUAAAUUGGCUUAAUUGAUGAAAUUGCACUUUGUUUCUUGUUGCGAGUUUGUAUCCCUAUGGUUGAAUGUACUUAUUGUAUGUCGCUUUGGAUAAAAUCGUCGUCAGCUAAAUGACAUGUAAUGUAAAAGCAGCCAGAGUGAGAGUGGAGAGUGAGUGCAGAAAGACUUUUCACGUCAAGAACAGAAAUGGUGUGUAUUCAGCAUCAAUUUCAACAGAAGCUGUUGCAGAUGAAAGGAAUCAAAGAUGAUGACAAUUUUGAGCAGGUGGAGUGGCAAGGAGCGCACUCUAAUGAUCUAGAUCGGACAAACAACGCCAGACAUCAGAGGGAACCACCAGUCCAGAGAGAACCAAAGCUGGUACCACUGUCACCAGAGGAUGACAUUGAACACAUUGUGUCAAUGGCACAAGUCUGUCAAAGGUCAUGGCGUGGGUGGGCCAUUUGUCAGGUAAGGCAAGGAGUGCCUCCGUGUUCAUGGAUAAGCAGCAAUACUGGCCAAAUAUGAAAUCACAGCGGAUGCUUACCGUCGGCCGUUUCGGUCUACAAAUAUUAGAGACCCCAUGUGAGUUGUAUGUUCGCCGGAAAGACUUGUUUUCAAAUGGGUCAAACAAGACCAUUCCACAGUGAAGGAAAUAUCGGAGAAGUUAAUUCUUUCCUGAGAAUGCUUCACCCGGAUCUUGACGUGUGCAUCUGUGAGCAUGACCUGUGUACUGCAGAUGAAGCAGCUCAACUAGCUGAAAUAUUUACAGCCACCAGAAGAGGAACCCGCUAUGGCUGCAUUCUUUCCCCAUUGCACUUUCAGCUACCAGUCCGUCAAGCUCCUGAAGUUUGCGGAUGACACCACCCUCAUUGGACUGAUUUUUGGUGGGGAUGAGUCCGCCUACAGGUGGGAGUCUGACCAUCUGGUGACGUGGUGCAGCCAGAACAACCUGUAGCUCAAUGCUCUGAAGACAGUGGAGAUUGUUGUGGAUUUCAGGAAGAACGCAGUUCCACCUUCCCCCAUCACCCUGUGUGACUCCCCCGUCACCGCUGUGGACUCCUUCCGUUUUUUGUGCUCCAUCAUCACCCAGGACCUCAAGUGGGAGCUGAACAUCAGCUCCAUCACCAAGAAGGCUCAAGAAGAGACUGUUCUUCCUGAGGCAGCUGAAAAAAUUCAACCUGCCAAAGACGAUGAUGGUGCACUUCUACACAGCCAUCAUAGUCCAUCCUCUGCUCCUCCAUCACCGUCUACUACGCUGCAGGUUUUGAACAAAUGGCAUGGACUGGAUGAAGUCACAAGUCGGAUUGGGAAGGUCACCUAUAAAAUAGGUAUGCCAGAAUUUCAUGUAAACUUAGUAGUUCCAGGAGCGCAGCUGCCUUGUAGGGCAAUAUGGUGUUACAAGCUCUUUAAGAUAAGACGUUGCCUCACCAACAAGUGCCUUGUGGGAAGUACCUUAAAUUCUAUUCUUGAUUUAACAAGGAGCCAGUGCAGAGAAGUUAAUACAGGAGUAAUAUGAUCCCUUUUUUUAGUUAUGGUUAAUAAACGUGCUGCAGCAUUCUGAAUCAACUGGAGAGGCUUAAGAGAUUUACAAGAGUAGCCUGAUAAAAGAAUUACAGUAAUCCAGUCUAGAAGUAACAAAUGCAUGACCUAAUUUUUUUGCAUCACGUUGAGACAGGUUCCUGAUUUUCGAUAAAUCGAGAUGAAAAAAGGCAGUCCUUGAGGUCUUCUUUAUAUAAGAGUUGAAGGACAGAUCCUGGUCGAAGAGAACUCCAAGAUUAUUGACGGUCCAAGUACAGAACCUUGUGGGACUCCGUGACAAACAUUGGUGGUCUUUGAGGAUUCACCCUUUACAAGCACAAACUGGGAUCGAUCCGACAAAACCAGCUGAGUGCAGUUCUUCUGAUAGCAAUAAAAUGUUCUAGUCUUUGCAAGACUGAGGUCCAGCAAGACAAGAAAAGAGAUGAGUCCUUGGUCCGAUGCAAGUAGAAGAUCAUUCGUGAUUUUCACUAGUGCCGUUUCUGUGCUAUGAUGCACUCCAAUCCUGACUGGAAAUCCUCGAACAAAGCAUUGUUUUGUAGAAAGUCACAUAAUUGAUUCGCAAUGGAUUUCUCAAGGAUCCCAGAGAAGGGAAGAUUAGAUAGGUCUGUAGUUAGCCAACACCUCUGGAGCAAGAGUAGGUUUCUUAAGAAGAAAUCUAAUUAAGGCAACCUUGAAGGACUGUGGACAGAUUUGUGAUAUCCAAUAAAGACGUGCUAACUAAAUAAAAAAUUGAUGGUACUGUAUCGACCCCAGGAGUGUAUGCGUGUUACGUCUGUGUCACGCCAUCGCCCUCACUCCGGCCAAUCAGGGGGAGUCACUGUAUGCUAGGCAGGAGGCGGCCUGUGAUUGGGGGAGAUCAGGGUAGGCGGGUGUUUCCGUGUUCUGGGUUAGUCAAGGUAGUCAGAAGAGUUCCAGUUACAGCGUACCGAUAGCGUGGGGGUGUCUGCUAACUGUUUGCAGGAAUCCUGCCCGAACGUCCAUUUGCCUCCGUGUUGUGAGUUAGCCACUACACCCGAUACUCUACAAUACGCUUAUUUAAUAUUUUGUUGCACAACCUUUAAGGAAAUUAAGCAAUUUUGUAACUCUCAAGGAGACUUUUGUACCUUUCAAAAGAUAUUUUGGCCCACUCAUGAGCUAACGGCUGCAGCUGUAUGAAGUGGGUUUUGUUGGAGGACCCAUGUCCUGCAACAGUGACUAAGCUUUCUGACACUGGACAAAACAUUUCACUCCAGAAUGCCUUGAUAUUCUUAUAGCUUUACCUUAAGAUGCUCGUCUAUCAUUUUCAGUGUUGUACUUACUCUCCAUGAUACCAAACAGCACAGUGACUACUUUUCACCCUUUAAAUAGGGAUGCCAAUUAGAAGACACACCUUAGUUUAACAUGUCCCAUAGUGAAAUUAUUUUCCAUCUUUUGUAGGGGUACCAUCAUUUUCAUUUAAUUUUCAUUAUUUUUUUAUGAUUCUCCACAACCACAAUUCAAAAGAAAAUUCUGAUUUGUGUUUCAAGUUUUUAUUUCUUUAAUGGAAGGGUACCAAUCUUCUUUUUCUUUGCCAUUGAGCACCAUCGUGGUCCAAAAAACCUUAGAACCACACCUUUGCUUUUUUGAUCAUUCCCAUAAACAAAAAACCAUAGAUUACCAGGGCUCAGUUCUACAUAAUAUGUCUUUGUGAAGAAAUGGAAUCAUUCAAACAUUCCAAAUACAUUUAAACUGUGUUUUUUGUCAGGCCUUAUAUGUAUUGUGCAUGAAGUAGUGACAGGCAGGAAAGUUAGGCGGUGUGCUUGCAGAGGUAUGGAGAUUCUGAUUGCAGUGUCAGCCAAUCCCUUAGCUGAUGUCAGUACAGCUAACAGUUGGGAUGUUGUUAAGUGUUUAUGUGUUAUGAGGGAGCAUCAAGCAUAUUGAUGGAAAGUAGAUUGAGUAUGCAGGCCCCUAAGGUUUGACCAUGUUCUGGAUGUAGACUGGAGCUGAUCUGUUGGCCGCACGCUACACAUGUACCAAUGUUUUGAAACACAUACGGGCCGGCACUAGUAACUAGUGUUCGUGAAUUUAGGUAGUCUAGCUGCUGCAUUCUGGAUGAGCAGCAGAGGUUGCAUUGCGCUGGCAGGUAGUGCUGCAAAGAGGGAGUUAAAAUAAACAGGGCGUGAGAUGACCAGAGCCUGUGGUGCACAGCCAUCCACUGAGUGGUGUCAGUCAAACAGGCAGAGAUUCAUGUUGCUACUUGUGUCUCUGAUUGGGGGAAAGACAGUACUUCAAUGGUAGGAGGAUGUUAGUGGAUAACAAUUGGUGAGAGAGGAAAGAUAAUAUUCAAGAAGGCUGUUGAAGUGAAUUGUUUUACAGUCUUGAGUUCUAAUCCCAUUACUGAAAUUAGUUGGACAAAGAUGGGGAGAGAAAAACAGGGAGAGGGUUGAGAGGAGAGAGCAGUUUUCCUUAGGUAUUGGCUUUAGGCAGCUUGAACUGUCACUAGACCUGCACAUAAACACACACACCAAUACUACGCAUCACAAACACAAACUAACAAAAAAGCAUUCACUGAUCAUUCACAGUUUGCUGCAACGCACACACACACUCACACUAACACACUCAUACACAUGGUGAAGCAGUUGUCCAUAUAGGCCCCAGGUUAAAUUUGGUGGCAGCUCCUCCUCCUCAUCAUCAUCAUCAUCACACAGAUGGCCAUGGGAGAAGUUAAUUCUUUCUCUAUUUACUCAGUUUGUGUUGCCAGUCCCUGCUGUAAUGACUGAUCCAUCACCAAACCUACUGGAGGCUGUAUGAAAGAAAGUGAAUAUGAUCUCUCUCUAGAGAGAGAGAGAGAGAGAAAAUAUGACAAUGUGGAAUGUCUAUACAUAAACAUUCCACAUUGUCAUAUAUUGUCAUUUCAGUUUUUUAUGAAAUAUUUUCCACAACUUAAUGUCACCUUGUUUCACCAUUCAUAAAAAAAUCCUCUUUGAAUUGUGUCCGCGUGCAAUCUGUACUCAAUAUUUGCAUGGCCAUGUAAAUUAAGAACUUCAAUAUUCAUAAAAUAGCAGUGGCGUGCCGUGGGCCUGGGCCUUCAGUGAGGUCCUACACAGUCCCACCAGAAUUAAUCCAUCCAUUAAUCCUCUUAUUACCAUCAUUAUGAUGCCAUGGCUCUAGACACUACACAUUUAGACAUAAACGCAGCAUAACCAGGCGUUGAGUGAUAUUGAAAAGUUUUCAAUAUUUCCUUUUUUUUCUUCACCUUUUCAUUGUGCAGUUCGGUUGCCCUGCGCGUUAGUUCGUUGAGCUGUAGAUCCACUCGGGUGUCCCCAAAAGUUUUCAAAAGCACCAUUGCUUGUGUCCAACCGUACUUUGGUGUCUCGUUGCUGCCUUGGUUAGACAACUCAAGUUUGCAAAGCCAAUGUGGCUCCAAACACCAAAAUCGAUCACUUGCAAAUAACAGGCAUUCCCAGCAGUACAGUUUGCAGAGCUACUCGGAGCCUGUGAGCCAUUGAUAGCGCUCGUAGUUGGAACUUUGAAAGUGGCGAACGAACCCCUUUCCCGCCUGUGACAGGCUUUGUAGCGUCGGCCUCGGGCGACCUCUCCUCACAAUGUCUAACUUUUCUUGAAAAGUUUGUCUUUAGAAAGGCGUUAUAAUCAGAUCCUCGACCAUAUCGAUAUCUUCUCCUCCUUCCGCCAUUGUAGGGUGAAAAAACAGCUUAGUAGUAGCGAAUGAAUUCGUUUAUCAAAUUCAGUUUUCUAGUUGUGAGGUUCUGCAUAGAGCUGCCCAUAGGACCCGCCUCUCAAUAUUGGUAAUCCAAUCAAAAGACGUGCACGCACUCCGCCUGCUAGCUGGCUCCUGUGUAACACUGGAGCCAGCCAGCAGGCGUACAAUAGCCAACUCUAAAGCUGAUUGGUUGAUACUAAAUUUUAAUUUCCAUUCACUUUAAGCUACAAGCGCCCGCACUGUUGAUUCUGAAGGCCUGAGGGCAGAUUUUAGACCCCUGGCAACACAUGAUGGCUGAAUAUGAUUGGAUAAAAGAUCUAACAUAAAGACCAGCCCUCCAAAUCUCAACCUGGGGCUGGAAGCAGUGCAACCAAGAGGAAAGCUAUGAAAUGAAGAGUAUAACUCUUACUCUAGGGAAUAAUUUAAUAGAUAUUUGUGUGAAAAUACAUUUUAAAAAUAUAUAUUCUGACGGCCCACCACUGUAAAAUAGUUUUAAAAAACCCAUUGCCUUACCAUUUAAGUUUGAGAGAGUUCUCCGGGCAGCUGGAAACCAAAGAACCUCAACUACUCAGGUAAAUGAUUUGUUAGAGAACGAUAGUGUUUACAGGUUUAUGACAGAAUAAGUUUCUCUAUUCUCCAUCAAACGCCUAACAGCAAGCAGUAUGAGACUAGAAGCCAUUUAAUAAGAUUUAGUCCCAUUUGUGAACGUUCACUGUUGCUGAUUUAGUAUUUAAUUGUAGAAUGAUCUUCUUUUAAUUAUUUGAUGGGGAUUAUUUCCAAUGGCUUAUUAUACAGUCAAAUUAAACUACUUGUAAUUUCAUCACAAACUCAGUAGAUCCACCCUUGAGGACGCAUUGAAGUCUUGAAGAGCCCUUUGAAGUCCAAAAACCCAACUCUAGGAAGCAUGAGGAAGCAAAGUUACUAUGGCCGGUUUAGCUGCUUAACUAUCUAAAAGUCCAGACAUCUCAAACCAUUUCCUGCAUCAUGAUGGAUGCUCUCUAACUGCUGGUCAUUUCCACUUUUCCUUACAUACUUCACCCUUCACCCUUCGUUCAUUCCCCCCCCAUCUAUCUCUUCUUUUCUUCCCCUUUUCCUCAAAGAUCCCUGCAAGAUGAAAGGCAGCGUACCUCGCCCUUGCCUUAUCACUGUCUUUAGAGCUUGCAAAAACUUGGCGGCACCUCAGUCUUUUAGAGAGAGGAGAAUGGGAGAAAGAGAGACGAGAAAUAGCGUUGGGGAUUAUAGUUCUGAGGACAAACCUGACUAUUCACACUUGGCAUUAGCAAGACAGCCCGGGUACAAGAAGGAUAUUUUUUAUUCCCUUCAAUUUAACUUUAAUUACUCAAAUCUCGGCGAGGGCACACAAGAAAAGCCCAGGCAUUUGUGUCUGGGAGAUUAACAGACUGCCCUGCCAAGUCCUCGCCGGCACUGCAUCGUUAGAUAGAAUUCAAAUUCAAAUCCAGGCUAAAGACAGUGCAGCUGUCACCCCCCCUGGCCUGAAAACCCCCUGGAUCAGGAACGAGCUGUCCUCCCUCCUCCCUGCUUUCCCCAGGAGAAACCUAAUCCUGCCUCCCUCUCUUCCCAUGUUCUCUCUCUCUCUCUCUCAUGACUAUGACAGCUAAAAUGAAGCUAUUAAAACCCCCUUAAAUAAUUAGUCAUAAAAAAGUGGGUUGUUUUGUAUUUCUUUGGCAUCUUUCCUGAGGCUUGGAGGCUUGGAGUAGAGCAAGGCUUUCGUAAGUCUCAGGGGUGAUGCAUCUUUCACAAUUUCUCAUUUUUUUAAAGUGUGUUAAAGAAGGACAUGGACAUAUCAGGUGAAACACUUUUGCGUUUACACCUCCUCCCAUCUCUCAAGGAAAAAUUUGCUGGGUUUUCCUCAGUAAGUUUGAUGAAAUGUUUUUGUGUGAUACCGCAAGUCUUCGUUGGGAGCUUGUUUAAUCUUGUCAGUGAAGAACUCAAUGGGAGAGCGUCUUACGCGACACUAAAAUCCCCAGUAGUUGUUGCACUUUCACCCGCAAUUGACUUUGCAAACACCUGCAAUGUCUUCGAUAAGUCGCUCGUCUUAUCUCCUUUGAAGGAGCAGACCCCAUUAUUGUGGGUUCGAGGGCAGAUACCCCCGUCGUGCCGCAGGCUGCAAAUGAUAAUCCACGCUGCCACACUGCUGAAAUCCUGGUAAAAUGAUCCUAAAUUGACAAAACCCUUGGAUCCUCUGGACUAGGUUAAGCCUCAUCUAUUAGUGCUACAGUAGCUUGGGAUAACGGUUCGUCAAGCCUUGUGCCACUGCUUAGAAACGUCAUCAGCAAUGCCGUCCUUUUGGUUAUCUUUCUCUUUUAAUCCUCUGUAGACACAGCAAAGCAAGAGGGCCAAAUAGUUCAUCGUUCAUCAACCUUUAAAGUCUAAGGUAGUUUUUACUUAGUCAUGUGGUUGAGUCUGUAAAAACACUGCAUCAAGCCAUAAUAUCAGAACAGACAGCAUUAAGCUCUCACCCAAGUUGUUAUUUCUCUGGCCUUUAGUCCAUUAACGUGGGAAUUGAUUGGCGUGAUGGAAUUAAGGGGGGACUUGCCCGUGCUGAAUGGAGAGCUGGCACAGGCGUGAUGCAUUAAAUAUUUGGCACGGUCUAGCCAAGCAUCUGAUUAUGAUUUCAAAGGACUCAGACCUGGACUUGAUUAAAAACCACGUAGCCCUGCAAGGCCCCCAUAGGCAUCCACAGACAUGCCAGUAAGGGGAGUAGCAGCAGCCAUGGAUGAAGUCAUUGCACGCCAGCCUAAUUACAGGUUGAUUUAAAGGGACUUCUUUCAACUAGCUAAUCAAGUACUUCCAAUAAGGAUGUAGGAGGGUAAGGGUUCUAUACAUUUUUACACCCUUUUCUGCAAGAAUGAAAUCAUAAAGCUGAAGACAGUAGAGGCAGAAAGAGGCAAAACAAGUCUAGACCUCCUGGAGGAUUUUCCUUGAACCUUCCUUACAGAGUUCUAACAAGCCGCAAGAGCCAAGUGAAUAACCCCUUUUCCCCCUCCCUUCCAUCAUUUAGAGCCACGUUCCCAUCAUCCUUCCUUAUAUCCCUCCCUCAUCGUCCUCUCAUCCUCUCCCCCAGUUCUCUCUGGCCUGAGGGUUGGGAUAGCGAUUAAUAUCUGCCUAACUUGUUACCUAAUUCAUUAUGGAAUAGCAGUUAAUUUGAUUUGAUAUUAUUUUAAUAAUUCUGUAAUAUAUUAGAUUGUUCCAGGCUAUCAAAAUCAUUUUCCAAUUACUAAGGUUACUCAAGCAAAUCCGGCUUUUUCCCCCCUUUGUGUCAAAUGGCAGUUGGUCUGACUGUGAAUACAUUAGUAGCUAUGAUUCUAUCCCGCUGAUUGAAGGGAGACUAAAAUAUAUGUGUAUGCAUGAUUACACCCCAAAUGGUAUUAGUGCUAUAUAUCCACACAGCUGCAUUUGACGACAGUGUGAAUGGCUCAGCAAGGUGUUUUAAAUUUGUUUGAUUGAGCCCUCCCAAGAAGGAAUGAAUAGCAGAAAUCCAGAGAGAUGUGGUUUCUGUGCUUUCCUCUGCACACUAGCGUUUUGGCUCUCCCGUAAUUCGUAGCACGGUUCAGUAACUUUGGCCUUUCUAAAUGCAUCAAGGCACAGUGGGUCUCGACUGGACAAGAUCUAACAACCCCCACGCAUUUCCCCGUCCUGAUACACACCUAGCCACACCUUACUACCGCCCGCUGGCCUUUGAAAGCAAUCAUAGAAGAGAGAGAUUCGGAUUUGGCAUCACAUCUCAAAUAACUUGCCCACAGCUUCAAGUAAAGGGUUUUUAAGGGGAACAACGCCUUAUAAAUGAUCGUCUGCUGUUUGAAAGAUUUUCAUUUUCAGCUCCUGUGACCUUACUUAAUCCUUCUAGAAGCAAAACUGUCCUUACUUCCACCUGUGCAUACAGACAUCUGGGAAGAGAGGAAUAGUUUUAGUUUAGUCUCUAAACUAGAUUCUCAGGGCAGGUUUUGAUUAAAGUUAUCCCUUUGGCUUUUACUAUGCUAAUCCUAUAGGUGUCUCGUCUGACUGAUGAAAGCCAUGUCCUCAGUUUCUCCCCUUUUUGUUCCAUAAAAGUGUAAGCAUGUUAGGUGCAAAGAAGAGAGCCUUUCACAUGUGAAGACAUGAUCCAGUCUUCAUUCAUGUUGUACAUACCGUCUCACAUAUUCAGUUCCACUCCCUCAGAGGAAAACUAUUUAUGGGUUCACUCUUAUGAAUGGACAGAAUGGUCCUCCUGUUAAUUGUGUGUUGGUCCCAAUUUCUAACAACCUGUUCAACAAAUUUACGUGUAAAAGAUUAUUAUAAGAUUGCAGCUACGUAAGUCAUUUGUGUCUACAUGCUGUUGUACAUUCAAUGGUGGAAAUUUUUCUAAACAAUCCACCUCUUUCAGAAACGCCUCCACAUCUACAAUUACUUGCCAAACUCAAUUACACCCAGCUGUAACAGGCAUGUUGACAUUGACAGCUUUUAUUUGAUCACAGACAGCUUUUUGGUUUUACCACCUUGUCCGGCAGCUGUCUGUGCCAAGGGCUGCCCCGGGGGCCGUGGUUAGAGCCGGCCAGUUUCCCAAGUUCCACAAGUUCAGAUUAUUUAGCUCAUAAUUCAGCUUUGACAAGCAGUUGGCACUCUUCCAAAGACAUCCCUAUGUCUUGCCAAUGUAUGCUGUUUGUCCCCCCCUACCAUGACAAUGGAGUUCACUUUUUUAAACGGCCUACUUUUUUCAUCUCUUAUUGCGUUCGCAUAUCCCCCCUCCCCCCCUUUCUCUCCCUGCAGUCCAAGUGUUAUAAUGAUUUAUAGAAGAGUCAAUUUUUUUUUAGUUCCAAGACGCUCAAAUCAAAGAACCAUUGCAGUACUUUAUCUUGGUUUAUUUGAAGCCACUGCAUACUUCCCUCCUGGUCAGUUAAAUGUAUUUAAGUAUAUAUUUAGAUAAAAAAUAGUCUCUGGGCCACAAAUUUCAUUGUUUCCGUGUCAGUGAUGAAUUUCUCUCUUUUGAAAAACAGGGGAGAAUAAAAAUGCAGCCUUGGCUGCACGAUUAUUUCCUCUGUAGAAAAAAAAAACACCUAAGAAGGCACUCACUUUACUGUAGCCCACAAUACUGGAAUGUUCCCAUCAAUUACCACCGCUGCCUUCUCUCUGGCUUUGAGGACACAAGGAGAGGUCACUAGAAUACUUGUCCCGCAGACUUGAAGAGCAUUAUGAAACACUCCGUUCAAGGAACAGUAUGAUAGUACAAUGUCUCAAGUCCUUCCCCAGGACAAAGAAGGCUGCAGAAGAGCAGAUGAGUGGUAAGAUGCUGCUGUUUAUUGCAGGUAACAAUGAGGAGAAGCCAAAUUUGAUUUGAUUUGAAGUGGUCAUUGGUCAUCGCUGUCAUAUCUACGCAGCCUUGCUUGACGGGGCAACAGUGGCGCAUGGAGUAGAGAGGAUGCGCUGGGAUCCGCAAGGUCGGCCGUACGAACUCCGGCUGCUUCACGUCCCAUGUCGAAGUGUCCCUGAGCAAGACACCCAACUCCUAACCACUCCCUGGGCAAAAUGUAAACCAUGGGUUAAAAAUGCAAUGUAAGUCGCUUUGGAUAAAAGCGUCAGCUAAAUGUUGAUUAAGAGCCACGAACACCUCAAAGCCCUAGAAAAGAUGAUGUAGCAUUUUGAUACAUACUGAUCCUUGCUCAUUCCAACUUUAUUGCAUGCGGUAGCAAACAGGGAGAGGGUUGGUAGCCCGAUUGUUUUACAUUCAUUGGAGAAAUACAUGCUUUUAGUAGAAUGAGACAUGGUACAAACACGAAAGACAAAGGAAAAUUAGGGUGAUAUUUUGAAAUUCAGCCUGCUUCUUUGGUCGCCACAACUUAUGAGUUUAACCUCCAUUUGACUUCGAUGCACGUCUUUUUAACUGCUCUCAGCUGAAGCGAUCAGGGGCGCUGUGUGUGCUUCCUUGCACCCUGUGCAUUAAAACCUUUCCUCUUAUGUUCUGCGAGAUUGAAAGUGUCCAGCGUUUUAUUUAAAUGACACGCUACCUCACUGUGUGUCUCUCCUCUAUCCCCCUCCUUCACAUUAUUUUUGAAGACAACUGCAGGCUAGAGGAUAAGAAUCCCAGUUGCUGUGCUUGCCGGCACUUCUUCCUCGGCCAUGAUUUGAAUAAAGAGCUUUGAAAUUAAGUGGACAGGCCCGUCAGAAAAGCAGCGGUGCGCCUUUAAAAAGCCACCAUGCCCGAGUAAAUUAUUUUGAUUGACGGUGCCAGGAUAUUUUUUGCAAACUGGCUGAUUUAAUUGUGAGCGCCAGGGGGCAUCUUCAGGGGCCAGGUAUCGGCGUACCCAUUUGAUCUCCUCUAGCCAUCUCCCGAUGGUACCGGCCACCCGGGCACUGAGGGCCAGAGGCCAGACGAACAAAGUUAACCUUAUGCCUGUGAGCCUCUCUCUCCUUCGCCUCCUCUGAAAUAAAGAGGAAAAAAAAGCUGCGAAAUGGGAAGGCAAAAGUGUGAAAAUGGAUUUCUGAGCUCAUUUGAUGUUUGUGUCAAGAGUGGUAAAGUCAUUGAUAAAGAGAAGAGUGUGAGGGGGAAGGGUGGAUGAGAGAAGGAGGGAGAGGGAGAGUGCUAAGACAAAGAGUGCGAGUUCAUCAUCUGACGAAGAGCAUUUUCUAUUUUAUUUCCUGGAUGGAGGAGAGGUGUGGACUGGCUUUCAAAUUGGAGGGAGGAUUAGGAAGAAGGGGCUUAAUAAAAUUAUUCCUAGUCAACGGACAGGCCCUGUCAAGAAGAAGAAUCCAAUACCCACUCCCAAAAGCCAAGUCAAUCUCCAGCCAGCAAACGCACAUACAAAUGUGAAUACACCUCCACACCCAACAACCUCCCUUAAACCACAUCAACCAAAGCCCAAAGUAUUCCUAUACAACCUUCUCUACUAUCUCCACGUGCUGUCUCUGUCACAAUUGAACAUUCUCAGGACAGCAAACGAGCAAGAUAGGCAGUCGUCCUUAUCAGCCCAGCCCAUACUCAAUAUAAUCUGAGAAAAGUAGCACAGGUGUUGCACCAUCAAGCUCAGAUCGCAAUGCCUAAAAUUCAAGCCAGUUGUUCCCCAGUCUUUGCUAGAAGAUUUGCAAAUGUAUAUACAUGGAAGAGGCUGUUCAGUCAGGGUAUUACCUAUACCUGCAAAAAUGUUCUGUAAUUUGUAAAUACGCAUUUUAGACUUCCUCAUAAAGCAGGCCCCUCUGGCCGCGAGGUCGGUCAGCAAAAUAAGUGAUUAAACAGUUUGAUUCAAAUUAAAGGAUGUUUAUUUGUAACAAUAUUAAGUGAAAUCCCAAUUUGAAUCAAAAAAUAAUAUUCGAUUGAAUGUCGAUUCUUGUUUCACCCAACAGACUGGUUCCAGUCAGCUUAGGAAAUCCCCGGGACAUAUUGUUUUAAAAUCCUCCUUCUGCUCAUACGUCCUAACGUCCACUCAGGGGGUAGCUGUUACCUCGCGUAAACAACACCCCUACUUGAGUUCCUGUUCUCUGCCCGUCAUCACCCUCUCCACUAUUGAGUAACACAUACUCUGCCCCUCCCCCUGGUCCCCAGCUCAGGCAUACAUUAAAAAGCAGUUUAAAGCUAUCACGAAUGCUUUUGAGAUUCUGUUUUCUUCACAUUACCCAAGACAUCAAAUUAUAUGUAUUCCACAUAAUCAUAAACCAGAACCAAUUAGCUCACGUAGAUGUGAUAGAAGUGGUUGAUGGGUCAAGCAAUAAACAACCUUUCACCCUGGAGAAUGCUGUUUGUUCCCAGUGUGAAAUGAGAAGUCAAUUUGGAUUUAUUUGUUACGCUUUGAUGAUGGAUGUUGACAUGAGUGUAUCUUAAGAUAUUUUAACUGAAAUCUCCUUCUUAACCAAACUAAGUGCUUUUCUUGAAGGAGUUUAUUUUCAAAAUUCUAUAUGUAGAAAAACAAAUUGGCAAGUAUUUCUGGUCGUCAUAGAAAAAUGCAGAAUCAAUAAAACGGCCAAGUUCAGUCAUAUUUACUCUACCUGCGAUAUAUUAAAACACUGUUGAAACACAAAUUUGUUUUGACUUAAACCCAGCUAUGAUUCAAAUGUGUGCUUCAUAGUACCACUUUGAAAUAAAGUAGCUUCAAGGCUUAUGGUGUAAUGGUUUAAAGAUAUAACACUCAGUGAGCCCAUACUAUACACUUAUCACAUUAUCAAGCAAUUAUUCUCUGUUACAACAAACGGUAAACAAGCAGUUUGAAAAGUGUUAAGUGCAUUGAAAGACAAUAAAGAUAAAUCUUGAAUGGCCUUGCCAAUAUUUGAUCCAAACAGUGUAUCAAUUGUUUAGGCUUACUGUUCAAAGAAGUUAUAAAGUGACGGUUACCCAGAAAGUCCAGGAACUAUUUAUUAUUAAGAAACUAGAGGCCAACAAACACUGGCCACGUAUAUUUCAAGAUUUAGCAACCUGUUAAAAUACAUUUUCUGAUUAAAAAGAUUGCAUUGAAACCAUUGGUAAAUUUAAAACUUUGUCAAGUCUAUAAUACAAUAAUCCAAACAUAGGUACCCAUCUAAAGUGCUGGUUAUCUGUGGCUCAGUGAGAGCAGGGCUAUGUAUGUAUGAAUGUUUUGUAGCCUUGAUACACAGUUGCCAACUUGCAUGGUAGCUUUUGUGAUCAACAUGUGCAUGGGAUGAUGACAUGUAGCGUUGAAGAGCAUUCAGUACAGUAGUCCAUCCAUCCAUCCAUCUGCACACCGCUUAUCCUGCACACAGGGUCGCGGGGGGGCUGGAGUCUAUCCCAGCCAACUUCGGGCAAGAGACAGGGUACACCCUGGACUGGUCGCCAGCCAAUCGCAGGACUAACACAGAGACUAACAAUAAAUCACACUCACAUUCACACACCUACAGGCAAUUUGGAGCCACGAAUCACCAGAGCAUGUCUUUAAACUGUGGGAGGAAGCCGGAGAACCCGGAGAGAACCCACGCAGACACGGGGGAACAUGCAGACUCCACACAGAAAGUGAUAAUGACAGACAUCAUAUUCACAUUGUAACCCUCUUGGGAAAUUGCCAUUUCCGUCCUUUGGUAUUUUUAUUGCUUUUGUAUUACUAAGGCCACGACUUGGAAUAUGUAAACAUGUAUGCAUUUUUUCUUUUAAUAUGUAUAUGUCGUAAUAACACGUGGUAUUAUAAAAAGACACAAGGAAGACAACAUCAAAAAUACAAUGGACUUUAAAUCUGCCCAAGUUUACACUACUAACAUUUAAUUCACCCCCCACCCAAAAAUAAAUAAAAUUGGUAAAGUCUUUCUCUAUUACACAGGGAGAGUUAUUUACAUUUUUAUCACAAUGGAGCCAGCAUUAUUUGGUUUUGGUUCACCGGCACGUCACAAUGUCUUUACCUAAGUCAAAACGCAUUCUUGAUAUCUAAACCUGUGAAGAUUGCUUUCGCGUUGCAGUAGAAUUCUGAAUACUGACACAACAUAGAUUCCUCCAGUUAUUAGGAUUAUUAGUGGUUUUGUGCACAGGUUAGCCUAUAAUAACACAGCAGUAAUUGGAUAAGAAGGUCAUUAAAAUGUGCCAAUUCGAUUUCCCGCCAUUUUCAACGCACAGUUCGAUUCUCACAAAAUCUUCUGUGAAUCACAAUUGGUUCAAUGUCAUCAAAAUGUAUCAAAAGCUUGUUGAUAUCUUGAGUAUGGACCAAUAAACCUCUUAAUUAGGUAAAGACACAUAACUUCCAAAUGUAAAACUUUAGCCUUUCCUCACCAAACGUGUAAUACAUGUCCGCAUUGCACCCCCGAAAUACUCUAAUACUUUUUGAAUAAUAUCUAAGCAUUGGACUUUCGUGAUGCCAGUCAAUGACGGCACAGUCUUCAGACGUUGAGCUCUAAGUUGAUUUGGCUGCACCACGUCACCAGAUGAUCUGAUUCCCACUUGUAGGGUGACUCAUCCCCACCAGAGAUGAGUCCAAUGAGGGUAAAUGGAAACUUCAGGAGCUUGACGGACUGGGGAGCAGAGGGGAAAGAACGCAGCCUUGGGGGGAACCGGUGCUGAUUGACCGAGACAUGUUUCCCCAGCUUCAUGUGCUGCUUCCUGUCA